rnacentral:rRNA from 1 species
UUGCGGGAUACGUAGAAUUGGGUCCUCAAGGGAGAUGCCAAUACAGCUUACUUUCAGGUCAUCGCCAAUGGCCGUCGUCGUCGGAACUCCAUCCCGCUUCUGUGGGAUGGAGAGACCCUCCUGCAGCAGCCUGAGGACAUCCGUGCCCAUGUAGACAGCUUCUACAGAGACCUAUUCUCUGCCUCCCCUCGGGGCUGGCCCUCGAUCACGACAUCUGGCCGCCCCACCGUCGUGUCUCGCCGGCGGAUAAUGUGGCCCUCACGGCCCGUUCUCCGAGGCUGA